rnacentral:rRNA from 1 species
CUCCAACGAGACCUCAGGUCAGGCGGGGCUACCCGCUGAAUUUAAGCAUA